AGCUCCAGUAGCGUAUAUUAAAGUUGUUGCAGUUAAAAAGCUCGUAGUUGGAUUUCUGACACGAUGUUUCUGACCCGCCUAAUAUUUAGGUGCUGUGCCGGAUAACAUCUGUCAUCUUUUCAGAAAACCUUUCUACCAUUCAUUUGGUCGGAUUGGCGAUCUGGAACUUUUACUUUGAAAAAAUUAGAGUGUUCAAAGCAGGCUUGCGCUAUGAAUACAUUAGCAUGGAAUAAUAAUUUAGGGCUUUGGUUCUAUUUUGUUGGUUUCUAGGAUCGAAGCAAUGAUUGAUAGGGAUAGUUGGGGGUGCUAGUAUUAAGCGGCCAGAGGUGAAAUUCUUGGAUUCGCUUAAGACUAACUUAUGCGAAAGCAUUCACCAAGGAUGUCUUCUUUA
rnacentral:rRNA from 1 species